rnacentral:lncRNA from 1 species
CGUCUAGACUCGGCUGAGGAGCUGCGUCCGGCUCUUAGCCCUUCUUCUGAGUACAUCGGAGACUCAGCUUGAACGAUUUUGUUAAUAUGUUAUUCUUUCAACUAACGUUUCUUGAGCUUUUCCUUGGCUCCGGGCCCAGGGCAUGUGCGCAGUAACCAAAGGAGGAGCCCAGACCUGGCUGGGCUGGGAGGCAGGGCCACCUGGAGCCAGGACGGAUCCUACCGUGUGAAGUUUGAAAGGAAGCAUCUUGCAGCUCCGUCUAAUUACAGGAACAGAAGAAACUGCAGCUCAGAGAAUGACUGGCCAGGGUCUGCCAGCUGAUGGAGACCGGGGAGAAAGAAGGCAACAUUCUAUGAGACACCAACAGAGACGAAGCCUGUCUGGGAUUCUGUUCCACGCAGAGGUUGGAAAGAGCAGCGCGGCUGCCUCUGGAAAUCUUGUUUCCCCUGCCACAUGACAUCAGUGGGUUAUAUUGCAACUUUCCACAUGGCUGCCCAGACACAGACAGUUGUGUUUAUGAAAAUCCUCCUGAUACCAGCUUGGAGCCUCCCUGGCACUCAAGGCUCCUUCUCAGGCUGCGAUGUGUUCUGCUUAGAGGAGCAGCUGACAAAGGGCAGGUUGGAAGGGAGUCUGCCCUCCAAGCCAUAGAGGUGGCACCCCUGCUACUCCCUUUCGGGAAGCUCCUAGGGGCCUCUCAUCUCUGGUGUCGGAAACGUCAUAAUCAUACGCCUUGGACCUUUAGUGACUCUACAAUCUGGAAACCAACGUAUCUCAGGUCUGGGAAAUUUUCUUCCAUUAUUUCUUUGAUAAUUAUCGCCUCCAUUUUCUCCAAACUUUUCUAGAAUUCCCAAUGGUCAAAUGCUGGACCUCCUGAACUGAUCCUUUAAUAAGUUCUCAUUUUCUCUCCCGUUAUCUUUCUCUUAUUCUCUCUUUCUGUUCCAUUUUUGGGGAAAUUUCCUCUAUUUUAUCAUUC